rnacentral:rRNA from 3 species
ACGGGUGAGUAAUAUAUCGGAACGUGCCCAGUAGUGGGGGAUAGCCCGGCGAAAGCCGGAUUAAUACCGCAUACGACCUAUGGGUGAAAGCGGGGGAUCGCAAGACCUCGCGCUAUUGGAGCGGCCGAUAUCAGAUUAGGUAGUUGGUGGGGUAAAGGCCUACCAAGCCGACGAUCUGUAGCUGGUCUGAGAGGACGACCAGCCACACUGGGACUGAGACACGGCCCAGACUCCUACGGGAGGCAGCAGUGGGGAAUUUUGGACAAUGGGGGCAACCCUGAUCCAGCCAUGCCGCGUGCGGGAAGAAGGCCUUCGGGUUGUAAACCGCUUUUGUCAGGGAAGAAACGGCUUUCUCUAAUACAGAGGGCUAAUGACGGUACCUGAAGAAUAAGCACCGGCUAACUACGUGCCAGCAGCCGCGGUAAUACGUAGGGUGCAAGCGUUAAUCGGAAUUACUGGGCGUAAAGCGUGCGCAGGCGGUCUUGCAAGACAGAUGUGAAAUCCCCGGGCUUAACCUGGGAACUGCAUUUGUGACUGCAAGGCUGGAGUACGGUAGAGGGGGAUGGAAUUCCGCGUGUAGCAGUG